rnacentral:lncRNA from 1 species
AAACAAGAGAUGCCUUUGUAUUAUCUAGAGAUGCCCAGGCAUAGACCAAUCUCAGAGCUGGGCAUGUCCUACAUACUGCCAGCUCCACAAAUAUUUGAGGAAGAGAAGUGAAGGACAACUGAAGAGAAAGACAGUUCCAAUGUUUCCUGAGGGGAGCUGAAUUGCUGAAAGUUUGUCAUUAUCUCAGUGUCAACUGCUGGGGUGGCUGAAUUUUAGCAUAAGUCAUGAUAUGUGGUGGUUUCAAGUGGCUGUGGCAGACCCCUGGGCUAACAGGCCAAGGGAAGAACCUCAAUGGCACCCACUGGGGUCUGAUCAGCAUGCCUGGGACCAGGUCAGAACAAUGGCCCCCACCAAUGUCUCAGUCUCCAGAGAGGUCCCUCAUCUCACCAAGAUGCCCCCAGAGCCCACCAGGUGAGUCUUGUUUCACCAAAGGACUGUCAGCCUUCUCUCUGGUGAUUUUAGGUUGCUGCAAUGAUUGAGUUUGUGAGUGGGCCCUUUAAGACCCUAGACUUUCUGGGGGUAUCCUUGCUGCAGUUAAUAGCUAGCGAAGCGAGACAGUAAGACCCUCGUUUCAGUUGGGCUGAGUCUGAAGUAUGGUUUUAGCAGUGUCGGCUCCCACUCUGGACCUCAAUCCUCCAGGAAGGGCUGCGUACCUUAGGGUGUCUCCUACCUGGCCAGCUGAGAAGCUCCACUGCUCCCAAAGGUGGCUUUUUUCCUCUCCAGCAGGAAUUUCUGCCUCUUAGGCCUUAGUCAGGACUGUCCCUUGUUGUGGGGGUUCUUUUUAUCCAGUUUUCAGUUUUCUCUCCGGGGUAAUUUUUCCAAAAAUAGUUGUAACCUGGUUGUGUUUGUGGGAGGAGAUCUGCUUACAAUGCCAUCUUGACGAGAUCUCUACUAAAGAUAGUGUUUUAUCAAGUGUAUUUUAAAUGUGAGAAUCGGGAUUUUAGUUAUCAGAAAUGACUGCCAUUAAAGUACGUCAUAUUCAUCCAAAGUUUUCUUGAUUAUUUACUGAAGCACAUUAUUUUAAUCAUUCCCUUUGAAUCACUUUUAC